AUUGAACGCUGGCGGCAGGCCUAACACAUGCAAGUCGAACGAGUGGCGGACGGGUGAGUAAUGUCUGGGAAACUGCCUGAUGGAGGGGGAUAACUACUGGAAACGGUAGCUAAUACCGCAUACCAUCGGAUGUGCCCAGAUGGGAUUAGCUAGUAGGUGUGGUAAAGGCUCACCUAGGCGACGAUCCCUAGCUGGUCUGAGAGGAUGACCAGCCAGACUGGAACUGAGACACGGUCAAGAUUCCUACUGGAGGCAGAAGUGGGGAAGAUGGAACAAUGGGAGCAAGCAUGAUGCAGCCAUGCCGAGGGUAUGAAGAAGGCCUUCGGGUUGUAAAGUAAUUUCAGCGGGGAGGCGUUACCCGCAGAAGAAGCACCGGCUAACUCCGUGCCAGCAGCCGCGGUAAUAC
rnacentral:rRNA from 1 species